rnacentral:rRNA from 1 species
CCGAUAGCGCACAAGUAGAGUGAUCGAAAGAUGAAAAGCACUUUGGAAAGAGAGUCAAACAGUACGUGAAAUUGUUGAAAGGGAAGCGCUUGCAACCAGACCUGUCCGUAGGUGAUCAGCCGCUGUUCUCAGUGGUGCACUCGCUCUGCGAUCAGGCCAGNAUCGGUUCGGGCGGUCGGAUAAAGGCCUUGGGAAUGUAGCUUCCUUCGGGGAGUCUUAUAGCCCUCGGUGCAAUGCGGCCAGCCGGGACCGAGGACCGCGCUUCGGCUAGGAUGCUGGCGUAAUGGUUGUAAGCGACCCGUCUUGAAACACGGACCAAGGAGUCUAACAUCUAUGCGAGUGUUUGGGUGUYAAACCCAUGCGCGGAAUGAAAGUGAACGGAGGUGAGAACCCUUAAGGGCGCAUCAUCGACCGAUCCAGAUGUCUUCGGAUGGAUUUGAGUAUGAGCAUAGCUGUUGGGACCCGAAAGGUACAUUUACCCCCCCUUUUAGUAAUUAGAUUUAAGCUAACGUUUUUCGACAGAUGGUGAACUAUGCCUGAAUAGGGUGAAGCCAGAGGAAACUCUGGUGGAGGCUCGCAGCGGUU